UUCAGGUGCGAUGUAGCCAAUGGUGCCCCUAGCUGUUGUCAUGGACACAGCACUUUGAUCCUUAGCACAAAACUUAGCCAGACCAAAAUCAGAGAUUUUUGGAUUGAAGUCGUGGUCAAGCAGGAUGUUGUGCGGUUUGAUAUCAAAGUGGAGGAUUCUCUGAUCACACCCCUGAUGAAGAUACUCAAUUCCUUUAGCAAUGCCAAGUGCUAUAUCUUGCAGCCUUUUCCAGCCAAGGAAAUGGUUCUUGUCAUCUGCUGAAGAUAUGAAUUUCUGCAGUGAAUCAUUUGGCAAGUACUCGUAAACUAGAGCUCGUCUAAACCCAUCUGCGCAGAAUCCAAUCAACCGAACCACAUUGACAUGGUGGAUU
rnacentral:misc_RNA from 1 species